CCGCCCAAGCGUAGUAAUCGACGAAAUGCUUCGAGGAGUUAAAAAUAAGCAUAGAUCCGGAGAUUCUCGAAUAGGGCAACCUUUCGAACUACUGAUGAAACCAUGGGCAGGCAAGAGACAAACUGGCGCACUAAAAUAUCUUUGUAGCUAGAGGAAAAGAAAGCAAAAGCGAUUUCCGUAGUUGCGGCGAGCGAAAUGGGAGCAAUA
rnacentral:ncRNA from 1 species